rnacentral:rRNA from 1 species
AACUAACGCUGGCGGCGUGCCUAACACAUGCAAGUCGUACGAGAAAGUCGGCUUCGGCUGAUGAGUAAAGUGGCGCACGGGUGAGUAACGCGUGGAUAAUCUGCCCUUUAGUUGGGAAUAACGUACCGAAAGGUGCGCUAAUACCGAAUAAUGCUGAGUGACAUCAGUUAUUUAGCCAAAGAAGGCCUCUGCUUGCAAGCUUUCGCUGAAGGAUGAGUCCGCGUACCAUUAGCUAGUUGGUGGGGUAACGGCCUACCAAGGCGACGAUGGUUAGCUGGUCUGAGAGGAUGAUCAGCCACACUGGAACUGAGACACGGCCCAGACUCCUACGGGAGGCAGCAGUCGAGAAUAGUCUACAAUGGUCGGAAGACUGAUAGUGCGACGCCGCGUGAACGAUGAAUCCCUUCGGGGUGUAAAGUUCUUUUAUAUGUGAGCAGUGCUUCUUAUAUUAACAGUAUGGGGAGAGAGAUAUUAGCAUA